GACGAACGCUGGCGGCGUGCUUAACACAUGCAAGUCGAACGGAAAGGCCCUGCUUUUGUGGGGUGCUCGAGUGGCGAACGGGUGAGUAACACGUGAGUAACCUGCCCUUGACUUUGGGGUAACUUCAGGAAACUGGGGCUAAUACCGGAUAGGAGCUCCUGCUGCAUGGUGGGGGGUGGAAAGUUUCGGCGGUUGGGGAUGGACUCGCGGCUUAUCAGCUUGUUGGUGGGGUAGUGGCUUACCAAGGCUUUGACGGGUAGCCGGCCUGAGAGGGUGACCGGCCACAAUGGGACUGAGAUACGGCCCAGACUCCUACGGGAGGCAGAAGUGGGGAAUAUUGCACAGUGGGCGGACGCCUGAUGCAGCAACGCCGCGUGCGGGAUGACGGCCUUCGGGUUGUAAACCGCUUUCGCCUGUGACGAAGCGUGAGUGACGGUAAUGGGUAAAGAAGCACCGGCUAACUACGUG
rnacentral:rRNA from 1 species